AACGAACGCUGGCGGCAUGCCUAACACAUGCAAGUCGAACGAGAUCUUCGGGUCUAGUGGCGCACGGGUGCGUAACGCGUGGGAAUCUGCCCUUUGGUUCGGAAUAACAGUUGGAAACGACUGCUAAUACCGGAUGAUGACGAAAGUCCAAGGAUUUAUCGCCAGAGGAUGAGCCCGCGUAGGAUUAGCUAGUUGGUGUGGUAAAGGCGCACCAAGGCGACGAUCCUUAGCUGGUCUGAGAGGAUGAUCAGCCACACUGGGACUGAGACACGGCCCAGACGCCUACGGGGGGCAGCAGUGGGGAAUAUUGGACAAUGGGCGAAAGCCUGAUCGAGCAAUGCCGCGUGAGUGAUGAAGGCCUUAGGGUUGUAAAGCUCUUUUACCCGGGAUGAUAAUGACAGUACCGGGAGAAUAAGCUCCGGCUAACUCCGUGCCAGCCGCCGCGGUAA
rnacentral:rRNA from 1 species